UGAAAAUGUAAACAACAAAGAUCGGGCCCCGGUUCCGGACCCAGCGUACCCGCCCUACCAUGAGACGAUCACCUCCACUCGUCUCCCUCAUUUUGGCCACUAAAUGGCCUAUAUUAGCCCGUGUCGGCCAUAAUGCCCACUCUCCCCAACAAUAUUAUUUUAGCCGGACAUGAUUUCUUUCAAUAGCUGUUUAGGAUCUCAUGCAAGCGGAUAAUUCAUUAACUUCACAGGCGACGAAAUACUACAAGGAUAUUGCUAGUCGCCGCAAAAGAAACGCGCACGGAGGCACUUUAGAGGCUAUCGUUGCGCCGAUUUAGGAACAAUGGCCCACACAAUUACUUAAAACUGGAGCUCUCUGGGGGUGGUAAGGGGCGAUAUAAAUGCGUAAAUUCAAAUUGGGUAAGUCUGUGAGCAUAGUUCGCGCAAGUGUUAAUUUUAGAUUUUUAUAUUUUACAGGCGCAGAUGCAUCACCUUUG